rnacentral:rRNA from 1 species
ACGAACGCUGGCGGCGUGCUUAACACAUGCAAGUCGAACGGAAAGGCCCUGCUUUUGUGGGGUGCUCGAGUGGCGAACGGGUGAGUAACACGUGAGUAACCUGCCCUUGACUUUGGGAUAACUUCAUGAAACUGGGGCUAAUACCGGAUAGGAGCUCCUGCUGCAUGGUGGGGUUUGAAAAUUUUCGGGGGUUGGGGAUGGACCCGCGGCUUAUCAGCUUGUUGGUGGGGUAUUGGCUUACCAAGGCUUUGACGGGUAGCCGGCCUGAGAGGGUGACCGGCCACAUUGGGACUGAGAUACGGCCCAGACUCCUACGGGAGGCAGCAGUGGGGAAUAUUGCACAAUGGGCGGAAGCCUGAUGCAGCAACGCCGCGUGCGGGAUGACGGCCUUCGGGUUGUAAACCGCUUUCGCCUGUGACGAAGCGUGAGUGACGGUAAUGGGUAAAGAAGCACCGGCUAACUACGUG